rnacentral:rRNA from 1 species
GAUGAACGCUGGCGGCGUGCCUAAUACAUGCAAGUCGAGCGAACAGAUGAGGAGCUUGCUCCUCUGACGUUAGCGGCGGACGGGUGAGUAACACGUGGAUAACCUACCUAUAAGACUGGGAUAACUUCGGGAAACCGGAGCUAAUACCGGAUAAUAUAUUGAACCGCAUGGUUCAAUAGUGAAAGACGGUUUUGCUGUCACUUAUAGAUGGAUCCGCGCCGCAUUAGCUAGUUGGUAAGGUAACGGCUUACCAAGGCAACGAUGCGUAGCCGACCUGAGAGGGUGAUCGGCCACACUGGAAGUGAGACACGGUCCAGACUCCUACGGGAGGCAGCAGUAGGGAAUCUUCCGCAAUGGGCGAAAGCAUGACGGAGCAACGCCGCGUGAGUGAUGAAGGUCUUCGGAUCGUAAAACUCUGUUAUGAGGGAAGAACAAAUGUGUAAGUAACUAUGCACGUCUUGACGGUACCUAAUCAGAAAGCCACGGCUAACUACGUG